rnacentral:rRNA from 1 species
UACGUAGGGAGCAAGCGUUGUUCGGAUUUACUGGGCGUAAAGGGUGCGUAGGCGGCGCGGUAAGUCGGAUGUGAAAUCUCGGAGCUUAACUCCGAAACUGCAUUCGAUACUGCCGUGCUUGAGGACUGGAGAGGAGACUGGAAUUUACGGUGUAGCGGUGAAAUGCGUAGAUAUCGUAAGGAAGACCAGUGGCGAAGGCGGGUCUCUGGACAGUUCCUGACGCUGAGGCACGAAGGCCAGGGGAGCAAACGGG